CCCCUUCCCAGCCCUCAUUUAAGGGUUGGCAGUGGAGGUGAGGACAUCUUUUGCUGGAGAUCUCUGCCUACCUGAGGCCUUCCAAAGGACAUAUGCCUGCACAACUGUUUCACUGCCAGGCUCUUCAAAAGCACAAGCAGAGUAAGAGAGGUUGGAUCCUUCUGGUGGCAAUUCAGUACGUCUUUCAAUGGCCCAGCCACAACCAGAUUAAGUAGGACUUCAGCAGGACAAGCAUGAACAGGCAGAGCAUGCUGGCUAUGAUUACACUGGAAGACUGAGGGAUGCACACAAUCUCCCUGCUGUCAAGCCACAAAGCAGGAAUUCCCAAGUGAUGUCAGAGUAAGGUCUGCUCAAUACGAGGAGCCUUUGACACGGAAGCAGAAGUUUUCCAAGCUGUACUUUGAACUGUGGAACCACUACUGGGAGAAUUUUGUUCUGGCCUCGCUAACGCCUCUGAGAGCUUCAACCUGACUGGGCCCACUGCUGGAUAAUGCCAUAUUACACAUGUAUUUCAAGUGUUUGGAAAAGACUUGAGUGCAUGAGCAGGUGGAGAGUAGAAGCAAGGACAGAAAAAUCAAGAAGGAUUUACCAGAGCACAGGAGUGGGACGUGCAUGUAGAUAUCCUUUAAAUGGCAUAAGCAGCCUCCUCCAGACAUAUCUAAUGAUAAGAAAGUGUACCAAGCUCCCAAACCAUGGUCCAAAUUCACAGCUACGUGUGGCAGGCUUUCAAUCACAUCUACGUAGAACCAUAGAAUCAAUAAGGUUGGAAAAGACCUCCAAGAUCAUCCAGUCCAACCAUCCACCUCUCACCAAUUCCACACUAAACCACGUCCCUCGGUACAACAUCUAAAUG
ensembl:lncRNA